rnacentral:misc_RNA from 1 species
AGGCAUAUUGCCUUUUUAAAAUUGCUAAAUGCAAUUAAGACCAAGGUUAAGGGGCAAAACCAAGGCCAAAUGUUGGUAAAAGUUGAUGUUCAUAGCACAUCAAUGGUGGCAUUGGUGGACACUGGUGUGAACACUCUUUACAUGUCCAAGCAACUUGUGGACAAAAUUAAAUUGCCUUAUGAAAAGGUGCAUGGGUUGGUUAAGGGUGUGACUGCUAAAAGCAUGCCCAUUU